rnacentral:rRNA from 1 species
UAACGCGUGAGGAACCUGCCUCAAAGAGGGGGACAACAGUUGGAAACGACUGCUAAUACCGCGUAAGCCCACGGCUCGGCAUCGAGCAGAGGGAAAAGGAGCAAUCCACUUUGAGAUGGCCUCGCGUCCGAUUAGCUAGUUGGUGAGGUAACGGCCCACCAAGGCGACGAUCGGUAGCCGGACUGAGAGGUUGAACGGCCACAUUGGGACUGAGACACGGCCCAGACUCCUACGGGAGGCAGCAGUGGGGAAUAUUGCACAAUGGGGGAAACCCUGAUGCAGCGACGCCGCGUGGAGGAAGAAGGUCUUCGGAUUGUAAACUCCUGUUGUUGAGGAAGAUAAUGACGGUACUCAACAAGGAAGUGACGGCUAACUACGUGCCAGCAGCCGCGGUAAAACGUAGGUCACAAGCGUUGUCCGGAAUUACUGGGUGUAAAGGGAGCGCAGGCGGGAGAACAAGUUGGAAGUGAAAUCCAUGGGCUCAACCCAUGAACUGCUUUCAAAACUGUUUUUCUUGAGUAGUGCAGAGGUAGGCGGAAUUCCCGGUGUAGCGGUGGAAUGCGUAGAUAUCGGGAGGAACACCAGUGGCGAAAGCGGCCUACUGGGCACCAACUGACGCUGAGGCUCGAAAGUGUGGGUAGCAAACAGGAUUAGAUACCCUGGUAGUCCACACCGUAAAC